rnacentral:tRNA from 5 species
UCCCCUGUAGCUCAAUUGGCAGAGCGUUCGGCUGUUAACCGAUAGGUUCCUGGUUCGAGUCCAGGCGGGGGAGCCA